UCCAGACUCCUACGGGAGGCAGCAGUGGGGAAUAUUGCACAAUGGGGGAAACCCUGAUGCAGCGACGCCGCGUGAGCGAUGAAGUAUUUCGGUAUGUAAAGCUCUAUCAGCAGGGAAGAAGAUGACGGUACCUGACUAAGAAGCCCUGGCUAACUACGUGCCAGCAGCCGCGGUAAUACGUAGGGGGCAAGCGUUAUCCGGAUUUACUGGGUGUAAAGGGAGCGUAGACGGCGAUGCAAGCCAGAUGUGAAAGCCCGGGGCUCAACCCCGGGACUGCAUUUGGAACUGUGUGGCUGGAGUGCCGGAGAGGCAGGCGGAAUUCCUAGUGUAGCGGUGAAAUGCGUAGAUAUUAGGAGGAACACCAGUGGCGAAGGCGGCCUGCUGGACGAUGACUGACGUUGAGGCUCGAAAGCGUGGGGAGCAAACAGGAUUAGAUACCCCAGUAAAC
rnacentral:rRNA from 1 species